GCAACGUCCGUCGCAACUCUCGACUUUUUCGGGUAUAAAAGUGUUCAAAUAAUUAUUAAUUGAUGUAAUUAUUGUUGAAUAAACUCUCGCGAAUCUUUUGAGUACAUUUUUGUUGCUCAAUUUUGCUUUAAACAAUGGAUGUCGGCAAGUUAAGUUGUCGACAAAAUGACGCUGACAAAAAUGGACAUAUUCCAACAAAAUGCUCCAAAAAUGGCAAUACAAUUUUGACCAUAAAUCAGCUUGAACGGACUAAUAAUGGAAAAAAUUGUUGAACACGAUGAUAUUUGAGAUUACAACAAAUGCUAAAAAAUGGCAAUACAAUUUUGACCAUAAAUGGAGCAAUAACAAAGAAAACUGUUAAACAUGAUGAUAUUAAAG